rnacentral:rRNA from 1 species
GAUGAACGCUAGCGACAGGCUUAACACAUGCAAGUCGAGGGGCAGCAUAGAAGUAGCAAUACUUUGGUGGCGACCGGCGCACGGGUGAGUAACGCGUAUGCAACCUACCUAUCAGAGGGGAAUAACCCGGCGAAAGUCGGACUAAUACCGCAUAAAACAGGGGCACCGCAUGGUGAUAUUUGUUAAAGAAAUUCGCUGAUAGAUGGGCAUGCGUUCCAUUAGGUAGUUGGUGAGGUAACGGCUCACCAAGCCGACGAUGGAUAGGGGAACUGAGAGGUUGGUCCCCCACACUGGUACUGAGACACGGACCAGACUCCUACGGGAGGCAGCAGUGAGGAAUAUUGGUCAAUGGGCGGGAGCCUGAACCAGCCAAGUCGCGUGAAGGAAGAAGGAUCUAUGGUUCGUAAACUUCUUUUGCAGGGGAAUAAAGUGCAGGACGUGUCCUGUUUUGUAUGUACCCUGAGAAUAAGGAUCGGCUAACUCCGUGCCAGCAGCCGAC